GAGAGAGAGAGAGAGAGAGAGAGAACGGCAGCAUUAAGGAGGGGGUUGAGAAUCAGACCUGUAGUGGCAGACACUCUGUGGAUUUUACAUGCAGAGCUGAAUCUUGAUGCACGUAUUCCCCAAAGAAAGCUCAGCAGGGCUGGUCUUGAAUACCUCUAUAACCAAGGAUGAUUUUAAACUCCCAAUCCUGCUGUCUCCACUACUUCAGUGCUGGAAUUACAGGCAUAUGUCAUCACACCAUGUACAUGCUGUGAAUCAAGGGUUCCAUACCUUCUAGAGAAGCAUUCUACUGAGACCUAUAUUUCCCAGCCAGACAGGAUCAUGCUUUGUAGCUCUGUCUGAUCUGGCCUUUGCUGUGUAGCACAGUCUGCUUUGAACUCAUGGCAAUACUUCUCUCCCAGCUUCCCAAGUUGUUAUUACAGGGGUCAGUUAUGCUGGCUUGCUUUGUAUCAACUUGACAAAAACUUGAGUCAAUUUGGAAGAGAGAAACUCAAAUGAGGAAAUGCCCCCACAAGACUAGCCUCUGAGAAAGUCUGUCGUGCAUUUUCUUGACUUAUUAUUAGUGACAGACGACCCAACUCACUGUGGUCAGUUCCAGCUCUGGAAUGAUGAUCUUGGGUGCCAUAAAAAAAAGAAGGCUGUGCAAGCCAUAGAGAGCAAGCCAGUCAACAUUAUUCCUCAACUUUUGCAUCAGUUCCUGCCUCCAGAUUCCUGCCUUAAA